GACAGAGGUCCCAAGCGUUAGGCGGAAUCACUGGGCUUAAAGCGUGUGUAGGCGGAUGCCUAAGUACCUUGUGAAAUCCCACGGCUCACCCGUGGAACUGCUUGGUAUACUGGGUGUCUUGAGCCACUUAGGGGCUACCGGAACAAAUGGUGGAGCGGUGAAAUGCGUAGAUAUCAUUUGGAACGCCAAUGGUGAAAACAGGUAGCUGGGAGUGUGCUGACGCUGAGACACGAAAGCCAGGGGAGCAAACAGG
rnacentral:rRNA from 1 species